AAAUUAAUUCAACAUCGAGGUCACAAACUUAAUUAUUAAUAAGAACUCGCUAAUUAAAUAAUGCUGUUAUCCCUAGAGUAACUUAUUAACUAUCUCUCAACAUAAAAUUCAAAGAUCCUUCUCUUCAAAUAUUGCCCCAAUCAAAAAUUACUCCAAUUUCAAGCUUCUAGGGUCUUCUCGUCCCAAAAAUCUAUAAAAGCAUUUUUACUUUUAAUUUAAAUUAAAAUAAAUUAAAUAAAACUAUCUUCUUAGUUUCAACCCUUCAUACCAGUUCUCAAUUAAAAAA
rnacentral:rRNA from 1 species